rnacentral:rRNA from 1 species
GACGAACGCUGGCGGCGUGCUUAACACAUGCAAGUCGAACGAAGAGCGACGGAAGCUUGCUUCUAUCAAUCUUAGUGGCGAACGGGUGAGUAACGCGUAAUCAAACUGCCCUUCAGAGGGGGACAACAGUUGGAAACGACUGCUAAUACCGCAUACGAUCUAACCUCGGCAUCGAGGAUAGAUGAAAGGUGGCCUCUACAUGUAAGCUAUCACUGAAGGAGGGGAUUGCGUCUGAUUAGCUAGGUGGAGGGGUAACGGCCCACCAAGGCGAUGAUCAGUAGCCGGUCUGAGAGGAUGAACGGCCACAUUGGGACUGAGACACGGCCCAGACUCCUACGGGAGGCAGCAGUGGGGAAUCUUCCGCAAUGGACGAAAGUCUGACGGAGCAACGCCGCGUGAGUGAUGACGGCCUUCGGGUUGUAAAGCUCUGUUAAUCGGGACGAAAGGCCUUCUUGCGAAUAGUGAGAAGGAUUGACGGUACCGGAAUAGAAAGCCACGGCUAACUACGUG